UAACACGUAUGUAAUCUGCCCCUAACUGGGGGAUAGCCCUCCGAAAGGAGGAUUAAUACCCCAUAAUAUAAUAGAAUGGCAUCAUUUUAUUAUUAAAACUCCGGUGGUUAGGGAUGAGCAUGCGUCCUAUUAGCUAGUUGGUGAGGUAACGGCUCACCAAGGCAACGAUAGGUAGCUGGUCUGAGAGGAUGAUCAGUCACACGGGCACUGAGACACGGGCCCG
rnacentral:rRNA from 1 species